GGUCAAGCGAAUAAGCGCACACGGUGGAUGCCUUGGCGGUCAGAGGCGAUGAAGGACGUGGCAGCCUGCGAAAAGUAUCGGGGAGCUGGCAACAAGCUUUGAUCCGGUAAUGUCCGAAUGGGGAAACCCACCCGCUUGCGGGUAUCCUGCAGUGAAUACAUAGCUGCUGGAAGCGAACCUGGUGAACUGAAAUAUCUAAGUAACCAGAGGAAAAGAAAUCAACCGAGAUUCCGUAAGUAGCGACGAGCGAACGCGGACUAGCCCUUAAGCUGAUUUGGUUCUAGGAAAACGCUCUGGAAAGAGCGGCCAUAGAAGGUGAUAGCCCUGUAUCUGAAAGGGCCAUUUCAGUGAAGACGAGUAGGGCGGGGCACGUGAAACCCUGUCUGAACAUGGGGGGACCAUCCUCCAAGGCUAAAUACUACUGACCGACCGAUAGUGAACCAGUACCGUGAGGGAAAGGCGAAAAGAACCCCGGAGAGGGGAGUGAAAUAGAACCUGAAACCGUGUGCGUACAAGCAGUAGGAGCUCCGCAAGGAGUGACUGCGUACCUUUUGUAUAAUGGGUCAGCGACUUACUGUUCGUGGCAAGCUUAACCGUAUAGGGGAGGCGAAGGGAAACCGAGUCUGAUAAGGGCGCAUAGUCGCGGGCAGUAGACCCGAAACCGGGUGAUCUAGUCAUGCCCAGGGUGAAGGUGCGGUAACACGCACUGGAGGCCCGAACCCACUCCCGUUGCAAAGGUAGGGGAUGAGGUGUGAUUAGGAGUGAAAAGCUAAUCGAACCCGGAGAUAGCUGGUUCUCCUCGAAAGCUAUUUAGGUAGCGCCUCAUAUGUAUCCUCUCGGGGGUAGAGCACUGUUAUGGCUAGGGGGUCAUCGCGACUUACCAAACCAUUGCAAACUCCGAAUACCGAGACGGACUGUAUGGGAGACACACGGCGGGUGCUAACGUCCGUCGUGAAAAGGGAAACAACCCAGACCCACAGCUAAGGUCCCAAAUUUUGUGCUAAGUGGAAAACCAUGUGGAAAGGCACAGACAGCCAGGAGGUUGGCUUAGAAGCAGCCACCCUUUAAAGAAAGCGUAAUAGCUCACUGGUCGAGUCGGUCUGCGGGGAAGAUUUAACGGGGCUAAGCACAGAACCGAAGCUUGGGGUGCAUAACUUUGUUAUGCGCGGUAGAGGAGCGUUCCGUAAGCCGUUGAAGGUGGAUUGAGAAGUCUGCUGGAGGUAUCGGAAGUGCGAAUGCUGACAUGAGUAACGAUAAUGCGGGUGAAAAACCCGCACGCCGAAAGCCCAAGGUUUCCUUGCGCAACGUUAAUCGGCGCAGGGUGAGUCGGCCCCUAAGGCGAGGACGAAAGUCGUAGUCGAUGGGAAGCAGGUUAAUAUUCCUGCACCUCGCGUAAGUGCGAUGGAGGGACGGAGAAGGUUAGGUGUACCAGGCGUUGGUUGUCCUGGGGAAAGGCGGUAGGUUUGGAUCUUUGGCAAAUCCGGGAUCCUUUAAGACCGAGCACCGAGACGAGCCUUUAUGGCGAAGUCACUGAUACCACGCUUCCAGGAAAAGCUCCUAAGCUUCAGCUUACGCAGACCGUACCGUAAACCGACACAGGUGGGUAGGAUGAGAAUUCUCAGGCGCUUGAGAGAACUCGGGUGAAGGAACUAGGCAACAUGGCACCGUAACUUCGGGAGAAGGUGCACCCUUUUUGGUGGCUCGUGCGAGCUAUAGCUGAAGAGGGUCGCAGUAACCAGGCCGCUGCGACUGUUUAUCAAAAACACAGCACUCUGCAAACACGAAAGUGGACGUAUAGGGUGUGACGCCUGCCCGGUGCUGGAAGGUUAAUUGAUGGGGUCAGCCGCAAGGCGAAGCUCUUGAUCGAAGCCCCAGUAAACGGCGGCCGUAACUAUAACGGUCCUAAGGUAGCGAAAUUCCUUGUCGGGUAAGUUCCGACCUGCACGAAUGGCGUAACGACAGCGGCGCUGUCUCCACCCGAGACUCAGUGAAAUUGAAAUCGCUGUGAAGAUGCAGCGUUCCCGUGGCAAGACGGAAAGACCCCGUGAACCUUUACUAUAGCUUUACACUGAACGUUGAGUUCGUCUGUGUAGGAUAGGUGGGAGGCUAUGAAACCAUGGCGCUAGCUGUGGCGGAGCCAUCCUUGAAAUACCACCCUGUCGUGCUUGACGUUCUAACCUGGGCCCAUUAUCUGGGUCGGGGACCGUGUAUGGUGGGUAGUUUGACUGGGGCGGUCUCCUCCUAAAGAGUAACGGAGGAGCUCGAAGGUACGCUCAGCGCGGUCGGACAUCGCGCACUGUGUGCAAAGGCAUAAGCGUGCUUGACUGCAAGAUCGACGGAUCAAGCAGGUAGGAAACUAGGACUUAGUGAUCCGGUGGUUCUGUAUGGAAGGGCCAUCGCUCAACGGAUAAAAGGUACUCCGGGGAUAACAGGCUGAUACCGCCCAAGAGUUCAUAUCGACGGCGGUGUUUGGCACCUCGAUGUCGGCUCAUCACAUCCUGGGGCUGUAGUCGGUCCCAAGGGUAUGGCUGUUCGCCAUUUAAAGUGGUACGCGAGCUGGGUUCAGAACGUCGUGAGACAGUUCGGUCCCUAUCUGCCAUGGGCGUUGGAGAUUUGAGAGGGGCUGCUCCUAGUACGAGAGGACCGGAGUGGACGAACCUCUGGUGUUCCGGUUGUCACGCCAGUGGCAUUGCCGGGUAGCUAUGUUCGGAAGCGAUAACCGCUGAAAGCAUCUAAGCGGGAAGCGCGCCUCAAGAUGAGAUCUCCCGGGGCACAAGCCCCCUGAAGGAACCAUGUAGACUACGUGGUUGAUAGGUCAGGUGUGUAAGUACAGCAAUGUAUUGAGCUAACUGAUACUAAUGAUCCGAGAGGCUUGACCAU
rnacentral:rRNA from 3 species